CACCCAACUCAGGUCAGGUCGCAGCUAGCUAGCAGUGUCGCUAAUUCAGCAAUAACCAGGAUGGAGUUACUGCAGAAAAAUGCCAGCCACCCUCGGGUCUCCCCCUAGGUACCCUUGUGAGGUUCACGCUGGAGCGGGGCUUUCAUCACAGUGUGGGCUGAUUAAAGAUCUGUGACUCUUGUGAAGUUUUGGACAAGGAGAACUACAACACAGUGAUCUGAGCGAUAACAGCGAAGCUCCAGCCUCUCACCUAAAUGUGGUCACUUCUGGUUCCAAAAAAAACAAGAUGGCGAUGUCCGAAAUGCUGAACACCAGGCUUCAAAAUGGGAGGCACUGCAGUAGCUGCUGCCGAGGCUGGGGAGGCUUCAGCCCAGUGCCUCCCGGCUCCCAUCGCCUGCGAGUCCCCUGGGAAGCAGCUGACUGGCACCCAGACUGCCAACCAGAUGAUGGAUCCUACCAGGAGAAUCAGACAUGACAGGGGGAGGUGAGGCUGCAGGACUGGCCACCACUGAACCUGAGGACGAGGGGCAAAUGCGGUCAGCUGCCUCAGCACUGUGUAUGUGUGUGCGUGUGUGUGUGCACGAGGGUGUGCACUUGUGUGUGCGUUUGUAUGUUAGCAUCUGUGUAAAUGCAUGUGUUUGAAUGCCCAUGUCUGUGGGUGAUUAUUUUGGCGCAUGCACUCAGGUUUGUUUUUUUUUUUUGUUUUUUUAGUUCUUCACUCCAGUCACACUCUCCAUCUGGACCUGAGGUAUUUCAUUAGCUGUGGGAUGUUACAUUUUAUUUUGAAAGCUGACAAAAUAUCAACAGAGUUUAACUCUACAUGUUUGUCAUGUCUGCUACUGGACCUUCCCAAAACUGUGACAGAUGCCAAAUGACAAAAAAAAUCAAGUUGAGAAGAAAUGAGUUAAUGAACAGAAGUGGAAGAAAUGAAACAUUCAGACGUGAUACAUCUGAUUUUGACGUUAAAUUCUUAGUCUGGUAAGCAGUGUAGCUGGCACCAACAGGUGAGUCCAUUAUAUCUCCAAUUUGUAAGUUUUCAAUUAUUUAGAAAUAAACGAAAGAAAGAAAAAGAAGUGUCUAAAAGCUUUUACUGGGCUCAGCAUAUUGUUUUGUCAUUUCUGGCAUGACCAGCUUGAUCUUGUGAUACCAGCUGGAUGAAAGCUUCAUUCUUGCCCUGCGGCGUCCUGCUGUGCCAUUGCCUCAACCAGACACUGUGAUGGUAAGUGACUGCUGUAAUUGUUCUGCUCCCAGCUCUUACACUUCAGCCAACCAACUGGCUCCUUCCUCCUGGUCGUGCCACAUUGCCCUCAUGGGCCGUCUUGGCAUGGACCCGCAGUAACAACCCCCC